rnacentral:tRNA from 1 species
GGGGUUGUGGUUUAGUGGUAGAACGCUUGCCUUGCACACAUGAGGCACUGGGUUUGAUCCUCAGCACCACA